rnacentral:rRNA from 1 species
UAACACGUAGGGACCGAGCGUUGUCCGGAUUUAUUGGGCGUAAAGAGCUCGUAGGCGGUUCGGUAAGUCAGGUGUGAAAGCUCGAGGCUCAACCUCGAGAUGCCACCUGAUACUGCCGUGACUUGAGUCCGGUAGAGGAGUGUGGAAUUCCUGGUGUAGCGGUGAAAUGCGCAGAUAUCAGGAGGAACACCAAUUGCGAAGGCAGCACUCUGGGCCGGUACUGACGCUGAGGAGCGAAAGCGUGGGGAGCGAACAGGAUUAGAUACCCUGGUAGUCCACGCCGUAAACGUUGGGCACUAGGUGUGGGAUCGAACUAACCGAUUCCGUGCCGUAGCUAACGCAUUAAGUGCCCCGCCUGGGGAGUACGGCCGCAAGGCUA